GCAUCCUUCUGAGUCUUUUUUUUCCCUUUUUUUUCUUUAUAGGGGGAGCGUGGCCCGCCGGGGCUGGACGGCCGCAAUGGGUUGGAAGGGAAACCUGGGCCCCCAGGGCCCCCCGGGCUGAGGGGGGACCCGGGGAAGCAGGGGGACCCCGGUCGGGAUGGGCUGCCGGGGCUGCGUGGGGAGCAGGGCCCCCCUGGCGCCGUGGGACCCUUGGGGCCACCCGGCCUCCCCGGCAAACCCGGUGACGAUGGCAAGCCCGGCCUCAACGGCAAGAACGGAGAAGACGGGACACCAGGAGAGGACGGGAGGAAGGGCGAUAAAGGCGACGCCGGGGCCCCUGGCAGAGAUGGCCGCAGCGGUGCCAAGGGCGAGCAGGGGGACAGCGGCGUGCCCGGACCCCCUGGUCCCCCCGGUCUGCCCGGCGUUCCCGGGCAGCUCGGCCCCCCAGGCCAGGUUUGUAGUCCCCAAGCCCUCGGUGCCACAUGGGGCCAGCAGGACCCGUGCCCCACAGCUCCCCUGGGGCACUGCCCCGUGUCCGUGGGUGCCAUCGUGUCCCCUCCGUGUCUUCUAGGGGUCACCGGGCCUCCGUGGGGUUGCGGGACCCAAGGUAGGUGUGUUCCUGAGCCCAGCCCUCCGUGGCAGAGCUCUGGGGGGACCAAACCCCAAGGAAUGAGUCCUUUGGGGUCCCCUGCUCCCCCCUGACACCUUUUGCUGUAUUUCAGGGGGACCCAGGGGAGCCUGGACCGCGAGGGGAGCCGGUGAGUACCCAGCACUGAGCCCGGCCAGCUGGGAGCACCCCAGAGGACCGCAGCCCUUUCCUAGGCAGCGCCCAGUGGCGUUAACUCUGAAACCUACUGAGGGCAGCUGCAUCCCGCUCCCCUUCCUCACCCUACAUCUCAUUCCCUCUCACCCUAAAUACAGGGGCGACCUGGCGUCCGCGGCGACCCUGGCACUGCAGUGGUGAGUUUUCCACCCCCCCAUGGGGCUGGUGAGUCUUCCACCCCCCCGGAGCCCCAGCAGCACUACGCCAGCUCCUUUUUUUU
rnacentral:lncRNA from 1 species